CCUACGGGGUGCAGCAGUGAGGAAUAUUGGUCAAUGGACGAGAGUCUGAACCAGCCAAGUAGCGUGAAGGAUGACUGCCCUAUGGGUUGUAAACUUCUUUUAUAUGGGAAUAAAAUGUUCCACGUGUGGGAUUUUGUAUGUACCAUAUGAAUAAGGAUCGGCUAACUCCGUGCCAGCAGCCGCGGUAAUACGGAGGAUCCGAGCGUUAUCCGGAUUUAUUGGGUUUAAAGGGAGCGUAGGUGGAUUGUUAAGUCAGUUGUGAAAGUUUGCGGCUCAACCGUAAAAUUGCAGUUGAAACUGGCAGUCUUGAGUACAGUAGAGGUGGGCGGAAUUCGUGGUGUAGCGGUGAAAUGCUUAGAUAUCACGAAGAACUCCGAUUGCGAAGGCAGUUCACUGGACUGCAACUGACACUGAGGCUCGAAAGUGUGGGUAUCAAACAGGAUUCGAUACCCCUGUAGUC
rnacentral:rRNA from 1 species